UGCAGUCGAACGGUAGCAGGAAGUGCUUGCACUUUGCUGACGAGUGGCGGACGGGUGAGUAAUACUUAGGAACAUGCCUUUGUGUGGGGGAUAACCAUUGGAAACGAUGGCUAAUACCGCAUAAUGUCUUUGGACCAAAGAGGGCUUUCGGGCUCUCGCGCAAAGAGUGGCCUAAGUGAGAUUAGCUUGUUGGUGAGGUAAAGGCUCACCAAGGCGACGAUCUCUAGCUGUUCUGAGAGGAAGAUCAGCCACACUGGGACUGAGACACGGCCCAGACUCCUACGGGAGGCAGCAGUGGGGAAUAUUGCACAAUGGGGGCAACCCUGAUGCAGCCAUGCCGCGUGUGUGAAGAAGGCCUUCGGGUUGUAAAGCACUUUCAGUUGUGAGGAAAGGUUGAUGGUUAAUACCCAUCAGCUGUGACGUUAGCAACAGAAGAAGCACCGGCUAACUCCGUGCCAGCAGCCGCGGUAAUACGGAGGGUGCGAGCGUUAAUCGGAAUUACUGGGCGUAAAGCGCACGCAGGCGGUUAUAUAAGCUAGAUGUGAAAGCCCCGGGCUCAACCUGGGAAUAGCAUUUAGAACUGUAUGACUAGAGUCUUGGAGAGGGGAGUGGAAUUCCAGGUGUAGCG
rnacentral:rRNA from 1 species